AUCAGUGAAGGAUAUCACAUUAGUGUUGAAAGUGUGAUCAACCAUGUGUUGAAAUUUUUUUGUAUCCACUGAUGUCGGAAGAUAGGCUUCUUCCAAAACCUUUAACAAGACCUUCCGGUGAUUCUCGGAAGUUAAGACCAAGUCCAAAAUUGAUAUUUGUGGUGGAGCUUCCUUCAAGCUUAAAACCACCGAGGCUUCGUUAUGAC
rnacentral:lncRNA from 1 species